ensembl:snRNA U1 U1 spliceosomal RNA
AUACUUACCUGGCAGGGGAGAUACGAUGAUCACAAAGGUGGUUUUCCCAGGACGAGCCUCAUCCAUUGCACUCUGGAUGUGCUGACCCCUGAGAUUUCCCCAAAUAUGGGAAACUCGACUGCGUAAUUUGUGGUAGUGGGGGACUGCGUUCGUGCUUUCCCCUG